GUUGAUGGAAUUUAGUGAUGAUGGUGGUGGAUUUGGUGAUGAUGGUGGUGGAGGGCGGUGGAAAGAGAGAGGGCGGUUGAGCGAUGGAUCUGCGUGGGUGGUUGGCGGCGGCGGAUCUGGUGAUGGUGGAGAGCAGUGGAGAGAGAGAGGGCGGUAGAGGGGGUUCGAUGCGGCGGAAGAGGAAGGCGACUGAUCUGGUGAUUGUGGGAGGCGGCGUGAGGUCUGGAACGACGCGAGAAGGAG
rnacentral:lncRNA from 1 species